rnacentral:tRNA from 1 species
GUCGUAGCUCAGUCGGCAGAGCAGCCGCCUCGUAAGCGGCAGGUCACCGGCGUGUCGUAAUCCCCA